AAAAACAUGUCUUAAUGGGGGUUAAUAUUAAGUCUGGCCUGCCCAAUGAUUUAAAUUUAAUGGCCGCAGUAAUUUAACUGUGCAAAGGUAGCAUAAUCAUUAGUUUUUUAAUUGAGGACUAGAAUGAAAGGUUUAACGAAAUAUAAGCUUUAUUAUGAUAAAAAUUAUAAUUUUAUUUUUUGGUGAAAAAGCUAAAAUUAUAAUAUAAGACGAGAAGACCCUAUAGAUUUUUAUAUAAAUUAUAAUAAAUUUAAUAAGAAUUUUAAUAUAUUUAUUAUAUAGAUUAUUUUGUUGGGGUGAUAGUAAAAUUUGAAUAAUUUUUAUAAUAUAAAAACAUUUAUUUAUGAAUAGUUGAUCCAUUUUAUGAUUAUUAGAUUAAAUUACCUUAGGGAUAACAGCAUAAUUUCUUUGGAAAGUUCUUAUUAAUAAGGGAGAUUAUGACCUCGAUGUUGGAUUAAGAUUAAUUUUGGGCGCAGAAGUUUAAAAAUUAAGUCUGUUCG
rnacentral:rRNA from 1 species